AAGUCGUAACAAGGUAUCCGUAGGUGAACCUGCGGAUGGAUCAUUACUAAAUCCAUCCUUCUACCUUUGUGCUCUUAUUAGAUUCCACAGUCAGUGGCUCUCCAGUAAUGGAGCUGCUGCUGGCUGUACAAUUUUACCAAACCUUCAAACUAAAGUCUAAGAAACAUUGACAACUUUUAGCAAUGGAUCUCUAGGCUCUU
rnacentral:misc_RNA from 1 species